rnacentral:rRNA from 1 species
ACCUGCCCUUUGGACAGGGAUACCCCUGGGAAACUGGGACUAAUCCCUGAUAAGUCUCCGUAGCUGGAAUGCUCGGAGACGGAAAGCUCCGGCGCCACAGGAUGGGUCUGCGGCCUAUCAGGGUAGUAGUGGGUGUAGCGUACCUACUAGCCUACGACGGGUACGGGUUGUGAGAGCAAGAGCCCGGAGAUGGAUUCUGAGACACGAAUCCAGGCCCUACGGGGUGCAGCAGGCGCGAAAACUUUACAAUGCUGGCAACAGCGAUAAGGGAACCUCGAGUGCCAGGUUACAAAUCUGGCUGUCGAGAUGCCUAAAAAGCAUUUCAUAGCAAGGGCCGGGCAAGACCGGUGCCAGCCGCCGCGGUAACACCGGCGGCUCGAGUGGUAACCGUUAUUAUUGGGUCUAAAGGGUCUGUAGCCGGCCGGAUAAGUCUCUUGAGAAAUCUGGCAGCUUAACUGUCAGGCUUUCAGGAGAUACUGUCUGGCUCGAGGCCGGGAGAGGUGAGAGGUACUUCAGGGGUAGGGGUGAAAUCUUGUAAUCCUUGAAGGACCACCAGUGGCGAAGGCGUCUCACCAGAACGGACCUGACGGCAAGGGACGAAAGCUAGGGGCACGAACCGGAUUAGAUACCCGGGUAGUCCUAGCCGUAAACGAUACUCGCUAGGUGUCGGCCACGGUGCGACCGUUGUCGGUGCCGUAGGGAAGCCGUGAAGCGAGCCACCUGGGAAGUACGGCCGCAAGGCUGAAACUUAAA